GUUUGACCUAGAUCUAGAUCUAGACCUACUUUGAGUGGAAGCAGACGUGUUGUUAUUGAUGUUACUGGAUACAAAUAUUUCUUGUUCAAUCAUCUACUUUUUUGGAUAAUUUAAUGUGAUUCAACUAUUGGAUAUUCCUUACAACUUGGAUUAUUGAAAUAGCACGGAUUAUUGGAGCAGAUUGGAUUAUUUAUUACUCAAAGAACCUAAGACAAAGGACCUCCAUCCUAUAUCCUUAGGAAUUCUCUGGGGUCUGCUAGAGUUACAAAAAUGUACAUAUUAUGAAACAAUUUGGUUUCUAUAAAGUACAGAGCUCAAAGUUUUUUCUUUGAAAAUGGAGUCAUCCCAAAGAUAAGUCUGUAAGAUAUUUCUUUAGCUUUUGUUGCAAUGUGUUUGUUAUGAAGGUUAGUAAAAGUGUCUUUAAAAUCUGUUAUAUUUAAAUCUUUUCCCCAUUUAAUCCUAAUAGCUAAAUUUUCUUGUAACUGUUUUUUUAAUGUUGUGUAUAUUUCUUUAUAUUUAUUGUGUAUUGAAGGUUCAUUGCU